UGUAUUUUCCACUUGUAUGUAAGCAAUACUUGAAAAUUCUCCGUCUUCUUCUUCUUUGAGCUAAGAAAAAAUAUUGAAUUUUUUGUACGCACACUGAAUCAGUCGGAGGCAGUAAUAGUUGUGUACUGAUUUUGAUUUUAUUUAUUUAUUUAUUUUUUUAGUGUAAAAUGGGAAAAUUAAUUGCGGUUCUGUUUUUAAUGUUACUGUUGCUGUUUAUGUUUCCUUUGUUCUUCCAUGUACAUGAUUCUUUUUCGUUGUCGAGAAGCUUCUUAAGCCUCAAAGAUAAAUUCGUGAACAGUAGAAGACGUAUCUUGUUCCAGCCCGUCAAUUUUCUUUCUAACAGUGAGGUACGGGGUAUAAAAGUAGACACUGCUGCUUUUCUGAAAAUGAAGAAUGAUAUUAUCCCUUGGUCACCAUUGAUUGAGGAGUUCACUUUUGUUGCUAAUUCAGCCCCCUUCAACAGCUGUCAUGCUUCUACUAUCGUGGAGCUUGAUAAAAAUCACUUUUUGGCUGCCUAUUUUGGGGGUACAGCAGAGGGGGCACUUGACGUGAAGAUUUGGAUACAGACUUAUAAGGACGGUUCCUGGCACCCUCCUAUCAUCGCUGAUGAACAACUUGAUGUUCCUAUGUGGAAUCCAGUGCUAUUUAAACACCCCUCAAACGAAUUGCUUCUGUUCUAUAAAAUUGGGCAAGACGUUCAGAAAUGGAGUGGAUGCAUGAAGCGAUCGUAUGAUGGUGGAGUCACCUGGUCAGAAAGAGAACAGCUUCCACCUGGUAUACUAGGACCAAUUAAGAACAAGCCUAUUUUGAUAGAAAAUGGUGACUUGCUUUGCGGAUCUUCUGUUGAGAGCUGGAAUUCUUGGGGUGCAUGGAUGGAGAUAACUGCAGACUUGGGUAGGUCAUGGAGAAAGUAUGGCCCAAUAUACAUUAAGGAUAAGUCUCUUAGUGUGAUUCAACCAGUUCCUUACCAGACUGCCAAUGGGACCAUUCGUGUACUUCUGAGAUCCUUUGACGGAAUUAAUAGAAUAUGCAAGUCAGAAUCCAGUGAUGGUGGACAUACCUGGGAUUAUGCAAGGCCAACAGAAUUGCCAAAUCCAAAUUCAGGAAUCGAUGGGGUUAAGCUGAAGGAUGGCCGUCUUGUACUUGCUUAUAAUACAAUCUCCAGGGGUGUGCUUAAAGUUGCUCUCUCUUCAGACGGUGGAGACUCGUGGCACGAUGUUGUCACACUGGAGGAGACUUCGGGGAUGGAAUUUUCUUAUCCAGCUGUUAUCCAAGCCAGUGAUGGAUUAGUGCACAUCACUUACACUUAUAAUAGGACGCAAAUCAAGCAUGUUGUCUUAAAUCCUAAUUGAUACACUGGAGCAUAUCUGGGGAAAUUUCUGAUCUAAAAAGGACUUUCUUUUUGCCAGUGUUCUAAAAGCUUUUAAGUGUGGCUAGGCGGCAAUGCCAAGAUUCGCCUAGGAGAGUUCUGAGGAAGCCACUAGUGGUUGACUUGAGAAAAGUGCAUCACCCUUGGUGGAGGCGUGUUCAGGAAAAUCAGUAAAUAAAUGUAACUUGCUCUUUCGAUUCAGAAUUCUUACUCAUUUCAUGUAAAUGUGAUUUAUUUCUAUUAUGGGGCCAGUUAUUUCAAUUAAUGCGGGUCCAUUUCAUUAUAGGAAAUAUUGAUUUUAUUUGUUUUGAGAAUGAGUAGUCGUGCAAGUAUAACAAGUUAGUAGAUAAUCAGUCUAUUUUUCGUUUCUUUC